GGUUGCCACACUAGAAUUUGAUCGUGUUCGAAAGUCUAUGAGUGUUAUUGUCCGGGAGCCAACUGGGCGUAACCGACUUCUUGUCAAGGUGACUCGUUUUUUGUCUCAUUGCUGUCUACAGCUGGGUUUGAGUUUGCUGUUAUAGCAUGUUUUCAUGCUUGAUGCACUGUCUGGUGCUUGUAUAAUUUAACGGUUGCAAUUUGCAGGGUGCUGUUGAGAGUUUACUGGAGCGCACUUUGCAUGUACAACUUGCUGAUGGAUCCCUUGUUCCAAUAGACGAACCUUGUAAACAAUCAUUGCUCUUGAGACUCUUGGACAUGAGCUCAAAGGGAUUGCGGUGCUUGGGUUUCGCAUAUAAGGAGGAGUUGGGAGAGUUUUCAGAUUAUCAUUCUGAGAGCCAUCCUGCUCACAAGAAGCUGCUUGAUCCAGCCUGCUACUCCUCCAUUGAAAGUGACUUAGUUUUUGUAGGCAUUGUUGGGUUAAGAGUAUGUAUAUGCCACAAAUGUUUUGCUACUUGAUGAUUUUCAAGGUUCAAAAUUUCAAAUAUUUCAUUUAAUAACUAUUUUUCACAGGACCCUCCUCGUGAUGAAGUUGGAAAAGCAAUUGAAGAUUGCAGAGAAGCUGGAAUUAGAGUUAUGGUAAUAACUGGAGAUAACAAGUCCACAGCUGAGGCUAUCUGUCAAGAAAUCAAGUUGUUCUCUAAAGAAGAGGAUCUGAAAGGGAGAAGUUUUACUGGAAAAGAGUUCAUGGUUCUACCCCAGCCACAACAAAUGGAAAUUUUAGCAAAACCGGGAGGGAAGGUUUUCUCUCGUGCGGAGCCUAGGCAUAAGCAAGAGAUAGUAAGGAUGCUGAAAGAGAUAGGGGAGAUUGUUGCAAUGACCGGAGAUGGAGUGAACGAUGCACCGGCACUUAAACUUGCUGACAUUGGGAUUGCCAUGGGCAUCACAGGAACUGAGGUGGCAUUCACACUCACUCUUGGAACAUAGGAUGAUGCCCUCUGCCACUAACAGUUCUCAUUAACUUGGAGCCUUGCAAUGUGACUUCUAACCCUUCAUGUUUUAUAUCCCAGGUUGCAAAAGAAGCUUCAGAUAUGGUUUUGGCAGAUGAUAAUUUCAGUACUAUUGUUUCAGCUGUUGCCGAAGGCCGUGCCAUUUACACUAACAUGAAAGCUUUUAUCAGGCAUAUCUCUCUCUUUGUUCAUCAUCAUAAGCAUAAUAUGUUCCCUCCCUCUCUCACCUUUUUCUUCCUUUGAGUAAGAACUUUUCAAUCUCUCAUUCUGCAGGUACAUGAUUUCUUCAAAUGUUGGAGAGGUAAUAUCCAUAUUCUUGACCGCGGCAUUGGGAAUACCCGAAUGUAUGAUACCUGUGCAGCUUCUGUGGGUAAAUCUGGUCACUGACGGACCACCUGCAACAGCUCUUGGAUUUAACCCGGCUGACAUGCAUAUUAUGAAGAAACCGCCCCGCAAAAGUGACGAUGCUCUUAUGAGUCCUUGGGUUCUUUUCCGUUACCUGGUUAGUAUGUCCUACUUUUAAUUGAGCUUCAGCAUGCCAUGCAAAAGUCAUAAACUUUACAUGUUCACAACUGCAGGUAAUUGGUUCUUAUGUGGGCAUUGCAACUGUUGGCAUUUUCAUCUUGUGGUAUACUCAGGCUUCCUUUAUGGGCAUCAAUCUUGUGAGUGAUGGACAUACACUUGUCGAACUAUCUCAGCUUCGAAAUUGGGGAGAGUGUCCGUCAUGGUCGAAUUUUACCGUGGCUCCGUUCACAGUUAGGGGAGGUCGGACUAUCAGUUUCUCUGACCCUUGUGACUAUUUCUCUGUUGGUAAAGUGAAGGCAAUGACUUUGUCACUCUCUGUCUUGGUGGCCAUUGAGAUGUUCAAUUCCCUCAAUGCUCUUUCUGAAGAUAUUAGCUUGGUCAAAAUGCCACCUUGGAGGAACCCUUGGCUCUUGGUUGCCAUGUCAGUCUCAUUUGGACUUCAUUGCCUCAUUCUCUACAUUCCCUUUUUAGCAGACGUGUUUGGCGUUGUUCCAUUGAGUCUGAAUGAAUGGCUCCUGGUAAUUUUGAUCUCGGUGCCGGUGAUACUUAUUGACGAGGUUCUUAAAUUAGUAGGAAGGAGGAGAAGAUGGAGAGCAAAGAAGGAGAAAACAGCAUGAUAAAAUCUCAGGUUAUUAUGAUCAGUAGGAAAGCAGAUUCAUUCUGGAUGUGACACAGCAUAGAAACCAUGUAGUUAAUUAGAAUUCUCUGAUAACCAUUUUUAUCUGUUCACUUUCACUUUCAAUUUGUAUUGGUUUUUUUUUUUGUGAAAGUAAAGGCAUUAAACACAUUUGUUCAUUAAUUAAAAUAGAAAUGAAAAAUAUUUAAUCUCUGGGUUGUUAAAGGCAAUUGAUUCAAACAUCUUCCAAGUCCUAAAUGACGGAUAUGUUUUUCAGCAGCUGCUUCAAUGAAACAUUCAGCAUAUACUGCAUAGACAACAUAACUUAUUCUAAAGGACACAAAUUAACCUGAAAAUUUAUUUUGAAUUUUUGAACUUCUUUUCCUAUGUAUACACAAGAAAGAAUCCAGAUCCUAUAUUAGAAAAGAAUUUAAUUGUGGUUGAAAAAAUGGCCUCAGCUUCCCUUACCAGUCCACCAGUGAUGGCUUACACUGAUUUAUCUUCUCCUUACACCAUUAUACACAUAUCAAGCUUCAAAUACACAGACAGAAACCAACUUCCUGCGGCACCACAUGUAUGAGCCGCAAACCAACUUCCCCCUGGUCCAACAGCAGCAGAAUUUAAAUUCUCAUUCGGAUCUUGACGCUGCGACUCGAAAAAUAAAAUUGCAUCCAUCCAAUCACACGUCACUGAAACCAGAUAAUGACAUACUGACCAGAGAGCCAUGCUUAUAAAAAUAUGAAGGGCUCCCAUGUCUAUAGCUUUGCAUGGCAAGUCCUCCGGUAACUUUUAGAGAUCGUUGUGAAGUUUAAAGCAUAAAAGUGAAUUUAUGCCUGAUCUCUAAAUCAUUGACAUAUGUAGCUGUAACCAUGAAGUUCCUUCAGAAAUAGGAAGACUGAUCAUGAAGCACAUUCAAGUGAGCAAGUAUUCUAGCUGCCAUAGAUUUAACACUACCACUUCCACGUUGAGUUAAGUCAACUAAAGGCAUCUGAGCUAACGAUCCAAACUUCUGUUUAAACUCCAGCAGCCGGAACAUUCUUUCUAGAGCAUGUAGAGCCUUCUCCUGCAAACUAGGGUAGGGUUGAACAAGAAAUUUUAUUAUAGGUGGGAUGGCAUUUGCGUCUGUAAGCACCUUACUACCGGUCUGCAGUCUCUCACCUUCAAUUAAAGUUAAUAGUGCAUCUAAAGAAGCUUCACACGCUCCAGGAUCAGGUUCUCCCAGAAUCCUAACUAGUGGUCCCACUGCAUCAGCCUCCACCAGGCAAAAUGACGAAACAAUGCUACAUAUUCCUCCAUGAACAGGGCAUCCAGUUUCUGGCGGGGCCGAGAAGCAGCAGAAUCCUUUGCGGUUAGGUAAAGACCUGCUCAACAGUGGUGAACUCUCUGAAAAUCGAGAAAGAGAUAUGGCUGCACGUUUUUUUGUCAAGGAGGUUCCAGACUCCAGCAACUGUACGAACAAGGGUAUAAUGCCAGCUUCAGCUGCACUCUUUUGCCAUUCCAAGUUUGUUGAAACAGUGAAACGACAAAUGGCUCCAACGGCAUUCUCUAUCAACUGAUUCUUAUGGGGACCAUUCUGCUUGCCAUUCUGGAGAAAACUGAAUACGGCAGGUAGUGCCCCAGCAUCCACAAGCCACUGUGUGAUCUUGGGGAUUUCUGGAAGGUUAGAGAUAAUGCCCAUUGCAGAAGCAAUCUCUUCUUCAUCGUCAGAAACUUUGAUGAUCUUGAGUAUAGUCUCAAUGCACUUCUGAUUCACAUGCUCCAGGAUGGGGGUGGAUUCACUGCCACCUUCUACUAAGCAAGAGAACAGCUUUACAGCAUUUGCUCGUAGGUUUAGGUCAUCAUUCUCACACAACUGAACCAAUACUUGUAUUGCGGAGGACUGUAAAAGUAACCAAAUCAGUUAAAGCUUAUCUACCAGAAGCUGAGUAAAUCAAGUUAGCGUCUGGUAAAGAUGUUAUUAUUCCAAGUAUUGAGAUAAUUGUAAAAAUGGAACUAGGAAUUUAAACUCUAAAAUUCAAUAGGCUGCACCUGAGUUUACAUUUUCUAACUUCAUAGUGUAUCAGCGUAAGGGUUGAAAAUAAUCAACCUCAACAUGGGGUAAACCCAUCAGGAGGAGACAAGAACUAAAAAAGAUGUCAGAAAAUGUUAUUAACACGACCUUCUCUUAAUAAACCUUCAAUGAGUUUCUUUUUCAUUAUUAUGGGAAUUUCGAAUGUGCAUCAUUAAUCCAAAUUGGGCAAACACUACCCUAGUUGUUAAAGUUUUCACGAGUGUGAUUUAGGAAAGUUGAUUGAUGAUGACUACUAAUUGCAAAACAUGAAUCUCAAUGCAGUUUCUCAACAAAAAAAGGCCUGCAACUUGAAGCUUCACCUAAUGUUAUUUCAGUUUGAUUUCCCUUCCAGGUCUUUUCUGUUAAGAAAUAACAUUAAGCGAAGCUUCAGCUUGCAGGACUUUGCACUACCUCCCAAUUUCUUAUGAGACUAGCCACCCUUGGAUAUUCUCAUGCCAUUCAAACUUCGAGAUCCCAUUAACAUUCUACUAGUAGACUCGUGUAGGCAGGAAACCAAUUUUUAUUGAAAUAAAAAUGUCUUCUAGAAUAAAACACACACCUGUAUCAACUUGGUCUUGAUACUUAUAGCAGAGGGGGAUUGACACAAGGUGUGGAAGGUGCGAAUAAUGCUUUUCUGUACAUUAGGCCCCAUCAAGUUAAUCAAAGAGAAAAGCUUUAAAAUAUCUUCAUCCGAUUCCAAAAAUGAAACAGGUGUCUGGCUGGAUUCUAGAGACACUGACAUGGCGAGGUGCAUAAUUGUGGCUGCUAAAUAUUCACGCAAACUUGACAAUGACGAGCUAAGAUUGAAAAGAAGGUCAAGUAAUGGGCGCUCUGCACCUUCUCGAAUCAUCUGCAGACCAUUUUUAGGUAAGCUUGAGAGGUUUCUAAGAGCUUUAACAGCCACAGUUUUAAUUGGAAUGUCACCAUGUGAGACCAAAUACAGAAGUGGACACAGUACUCCUCCUUCUAUCAAAGAUUCUUUAUUGUGGUCAGUCAACUCCAUCUCUGCCAAAUUUGAUGCCAUGGCCAUUUUCACAUCUUCUGGUCCUGAAUAUAAAAAAAUGGCAAUUUUAUAGCAACAAACCUUCAUUACUCAUAAAAUGAACCGUUGACACAUAAACUGCAGCAAACAUACAAACUGAAAAUCACAUUGCCAUACCUAAGGCUAAAUUUUUCGAUAAAUAUAAACAUAAAAUAGAUAGAGCACAUAUAAGCUUUCAUAAACCACACCAAAAGAUCUCUUAACAUACAAUUAAAUUUAACAUAAUCAUAUUCAAGGAAGCAAACAUGUAAACUAUUGGAAUUCUAUUGAAUCAAGCGUAAACUUGGAUCACUGAUGAACAUGUUGUAGUGAUAAAACUAAGAUUGCUAACCUUUUUUACCACAUACAAUGCUAAAAUUCAGAAGGAACCAUUACAUAUCAUACUAAAGGUUGCAACAAUGAAUUUGAACCCAGAACUUGUAGGGUUAUUUUAGUAAAGGUUGCAACAUUAUUUUAGAAAGAUCUAUUUUACAAUCUGCAUGAGGGGCUUCUUAUUAUACAACCUAAAAAAAGAAGAAAGAUCCUGUACAAAAGAAAUUAUUAUGAAAGAAGAUAAGAGAACCUGCAGAGAGACGCUGCAGCAAAUGUGUAAAAUAAUUUGCCUUUGCCAUCUGUAUAACGUUCUGAUCAGAGAAUGAUAGAUUCUCCAAUAGUUCUCGUGCGUCUUUGGCAGCCCGAUUAUCGUCACUGUUGGACAUGGUAACUAAUAGGAGUAUGGAACCUUGAACCUUCCCUAUUUGCUCUCUUAUCGGAUUGCUUUUGGAUAAUUCCAAAAGUAACGCCACUGCUAACUUCCUUUCCUCAACACGGCGGCCAAGUGAACGAACAAUAGAUUCAAUGCCAUUAUCAGCUUUGUUAAUUCUUUCCUGCAACAUUAACUAUAAGGUUAUAGCCAUACAUGAGGGAAUUAAGAAGAGAUAACGUAGAAAAAUAAAAUGUAUUUAUUACUACAAAUAAUAAGCGCAUGUUUUUCUUCUUUCUUUUUGUGUAGGCAAAUGAAGAACAUCAUUGUUCAUUAAAAGAAUAUUACUGCACAAGGGGCAUUUUACAGACUUGUGCGUCUGUUGCUAGGCAUUAUAUAUAAAAACACAGAGGGAGAGAGAGAGAGAGAGAGAGAGAGAGAGAGAGAGAGAGAGAGAGAGAGAGUACACGAUGUAGUUAAGGUAAGCAAAGUAUUACCUUCGCAUCAUCACUAUCCUUCACCAAAAUGCAUAGGUUCACAAGAGCAUGGUUCCUUAUCUCAGGAUUUUUAACACCAAGAAGUUGUAUGAGAAUAGGUAUGUAGUUCUCCAGUAUGACCCAUUCCUUAUGCAGAUCUCUUUCUUUACAGAGAUCUAGUAGUUCACCGAGGCAAUGAAGCACUUCUUCGUCUUCUUCAGACUGGAGUUUUGAUUUCAAGGAAGCAAUCAUAAUCAUAGUAUUCCUGUCUUUCCAUUCUUCUAUUGAUUGCCGCAGAGUUUUAUUGGGCCGUAAAAUUGAUGUGUCUAAAGAAGUCAUGGUCAGGGGGCACGAUGUGUUCCCAUCAGCAAACCACUUUUCUAUAGCACUUCUCUCAAAUGUCUGUCCAGAAGAAGUUUCCACAGGGUCCACCAUAACUUCCCUGGUGAUUGGGCAAAUAAAUGAUUGAAGCGGUUCCAAUGGUUGACCACCCAAAGAUUUCCGCUUAAUGAUAUACUUCAUUUCUUUCUCCCUAGGAGAUGAAGCUGCAUCAGCCCUUUCUAAUAGAGCAAUUAUCUGUUCCAUCUGUAUAGCUUCAGCCUGGUCUUUCCUCAGCCGGGCAUUUUCUAUCUCGCUCCUGAAUUCCUCUAAUUCCUUCUUUAACACUGACCUCUCAGUUGAGAUUCCAACUGCCUCUGCAAUGAGAACCAGCAAAUUAUUGGCAUAAGAACGAUCCAUAUUUCUCUCCUGGAUUCCAGAAUCAAUUUUGUCCAAAAUCUCUUCCUCUGCUAUUGCUGCCCUGAACUCAGCUCUCUGCAUAUUGUCACAAAGCUUUUCAAUUUCUUCAAUUAUGCCAGAUGAAAGAUCUAGAGAAGUCAGGGGAAGAAGACUUAAAGCCCGACUGAUCUCUCUCAUUAUGUCCUCUAGGCGCUUAACUAUAUUACGGCAAUUCAUUAAGAGAUACACUUUGUUUCUCUUGCUGCACUCAUGAGUCAGUUGCUUUGCAGCUCUGAUUUCUCGGUAAAGAAUCUCCAUAACAUUGUUCAAGCUCUCAGAAUGAACAACAGUUUUCUUGUUCAACUCUCUUAAGAUGGGGACUACCCUUACCACAUAACUUGCAAGCUCCUUGAAAGUAUCCUUCUUAACAAGGACAUCAUUGGCAGCAGCUACAAUUUCAAAAAUGGCCUCUACUGUUUGAGAAAUGACUUCUGAAGCCGGAGCAGAUACAGCACUUGAAACCAAGUCCACUGCCAACAUUUUGCAACUCACUGAAACUAGCAAGCGAGAUCCUCAUUUCCCAUUUGACUGCACAAUUGACAAAAAGUGGCAGAAGCCCUCUUGCAGGACAACAACCAGAAGCUUUUGAUCCAAAAUAGUUUUCAUGCCAUGCAUUCAGUUUCAAUCUGAAAUAUCAGAGUAUUUGCUUAGUCUUAGUCUUGCUACACUACAUUGAUUAUACUUGAAUUUAUUUACUCAUAUACAUCUGGACCAACUCCCCAUUCAGUCAUGGAGAACCAGGCAGAAAUGAAAAUCACACAAAAGUAAAAGUCACAUACAAAUUUCGGUUUGGUUGCUGAGAAUUAACAAUUAAGUCUUGUAUUCUUUCGUAAUUUUGAGAUAUGGAGAGUUCCGCUCAAUGUCCCUAAUCCAACCAUUAGUCUCCAUUAUUGUACAGAAACCAAAAGACAUGAGUAACACUGAACCUGUCAUUUUCUUCUCUAACCUUCAGUUUCCUCUGCCAUCAAAGGGAAAAUCGUUUUGUUUUGUUUAUCAACAAAGGAAAGACUGAAAUUAAGCUCAGCUAUAAGUUUGUACUGGCAAUAAGUCUACUCAGUCUAAUUCCCUUGCUUCAUUAAAAAAAUAAUGAAAUUUUGUACCCAUAAAAACCCUUUCAUUCUUUGCUACUUUCUCUCAGCAACCAAACAGAGUUAACAUACAUAACCAUUCAUUCUUUGCUACUUUCUCUCAGCAACCAGAGUUAACAUACAUAACCAUUCUAGAAAGCUACUGUUUUUUUGCUUUUUCUGGUCAGAGAAACUUGAAACAAAUACUAGUAAGUUCUAGUCCUAAUUCAAUAUACUGAAAUCAAUAAUGCUUCAAUUUCCAGCUUAUUUCUUCAAAUUUAGGCUCAAAUUGCAAUUCAGAAGGACCCCAUUAAACAGCAAGCAUGCAAUAAAGCAGAAGGCCAAGACCCUUUUAGUCAACAACAAAGUCUUCACUGAUUCAAAAAGAAAAAGUUUAAGAGACAGACCUGGGAAAGAGUUUAUGCCCAUCAAAAUUCACAGCACCAUCAAUCUUUUCAACACAAUUUCUGCAGAAAAUGCACCGAAAUUUCCCGUGAAAAUUAUCAAUCAACUCACCACAGAGGCCUUUCAAAAAUGGAAAGGAAAUUUGAAAACUAGGAUUAAAAGAAAUACCUUUUCUCUUUUUUCUCUUCUUUUCUGUUUUUGGGUAAUUUAGGAAAGUUGCAAUCUGAAAAAUAAAUUGUCUUUAAGUUUGUUGCCUCCAAGUGGAGACUCUCUCCCCCAAGUCCCAAGUCUUGACCUUUUCCUUGAAGGAUUUUUCUGAGUCAAAUUUUCACAGAAGUAAAAUGGAGAAAUUAUCUUUCUGGGUCUUUGCUCAUGUGACCGUUGACUGAAAUACUAUAUCAAACUUGAAGAUUAGAUGAGACCAAAAAAAAAAAAAAUACCCAACUUCGUUCCAGAGGUAAAACAAAAAUAGCUCGCAGCUUAUCUAGCCUUUGGAAAACACCACCAUGCCACUGCCGUCCGUCUUUGAAAAGUAUAAAGAAGUUCUUAAACACGUUUUCGACCAAAAAAAAUAAAAGAAGGCCCGUUGCCAUCUCACUGGUCAAUCACGUUUUUCCUUUUUCCACAGAAAGAGAAAAAAAAAAUCUUUUGAACUUUAAAACGCACUUAUUGUCCAUUGCAUUUGUUUUUUCCCAUUCGAUUCAUUCAAUUCAUAUGUCGUCCCCACCCCAGGGUUAAGCUGCCAUAUAGUUUUCGAAUAAUUUUAGGAAAAUACUAGGGAGGUCAACUUUAGAUACCAACUUGUGUACCAACUCUCUAAUAGAGUCUGUGACCCAUUGUAUUGGUGGGUUCCACCUCUAUUAGAGAGUUGGUACACAAGUUGGCAUCUAAAGUUGGUCUCCCUAGCAUGACCCAUAAUUUUAACGUUUCCCUUUAUCUUUUUCAUUAAAAACUGAAUUUCUAUUUAAUGAUUUGUUUCUUAACUUUCUUAUUAUUUUAUCCACAUCAGGCGAUAAAAUUUUAUUAGAUUGAUAGAAGUAAUAGUAUUAAAGGAGUUAUCCUAAUAACAAUAUAACAGACAUGAGUAAAACUUCUCAUGUGACAUAAUCCAUCGAAAAAGCUGAAACGAUCUGGAGAGAAUCCACAUCUAUUUUCACUUUUUUAAUCCUUUAAACUAGAAAUCUAUUCUCACUUAUUGUCAUUUCACAUACAAAUUUGUGACGUGGUGAUACUUCAACGGUUGUACAAAAUAACGGGGUUUCAUGCAGCAAAAAGAAAUAAGCUCUCUCAUGAACUGAAUUCUUUUGUGCAUUAACACAAAAUUACCAUUGGUAUGUUUUAAGGCACAUUGUGCUGAGUCGUUUUUAAGACAUUAUUUGCCCCCACUAAUCGUAUAUAUGAUUUACUGAAGUGUAGUAAAAUACAACGCAGAAAGUAUAUCAACUUUUUGCUGCAUUAUAAUGCACUGACGAAUCCCCAGGACUAUCAUGAUUAUCUCCACCCACCAUCAUAUUCUACACCCAGCUGAAUGCUGGUCAUGAACCUCUGAAAUUUUCAAGAAGCAGCAUAUGGUGAAAAGUGGAAAGCAAAGAAAGGUCCAUGGAUGAAGAAUUCAAAGCUAAAGAGAAGAAUUCAAAUGGAUUUACAAAAUAAAGAGUAAAAUUUGUAAUGUGCAACAGAUUACAGAAAAUCUACUCAUCCCAAUUUUUUCUUUUAGGUACUUGGUAUGAUCAUUGUCUCUCUUUCAACAAAAUCUAAAAUUUUAUACCAACACAAUCCAUUUCCGGGAAGAUUAACAAAUUUCACUGAAUUGGUGAAGCAUUAUAUGAUGUGUUCAAAAACGACCAACAAGUAAAAUGUUGUUCUCCUCCUGCCCCAAAUGAUCCAUUCUAGUAUUGAAAAAAAUUUGGGCAUUUCUGCAAUUGUGGGAAACUGAGAGUGAUCAUCACCAAGAAUAUCCAGAACAUUAUCAAAAAUAUGAGCUUUGAUGAGCUUACAAACUUAUUUGGAUAUCCAAUUUGAAUGUUGGACAGCCAUAUUAUGCAUUCAUACAGCACAACUAGUUUUUGCAUUGGUCAUAGAUUGUAAAGUUGCAAUCUUUACGUUCUUUGGAUUGCCUAUGGCAUCAUACAGCAAAUGAAAGUAAGCUUUCAUGAACCAAAUUCUUUACCUUCUUAGCAGUCCCAGACAACUCACUGUAAAUCCUCUGGAACUCCUCCAACACUUCUUUCACAAUCCCCACCUUAUUUUUCCUAACCAGCAUCUUCACCAAACCCACCAAAUGCCUAUUGAAUCUCCCUUUCUCUGCCACCAAGUUCACUACUUGGCCCUUUUCUUUCUCACCCACAAAAGGGUUGGCCAAGGCAGCUUGGACUUGCUUAUUGUGGAGCAAUUUCAAGAACCUCUGAAUGUCCUUCUCAACCAAAUGAACAGAACUGUUGCAUUGAGCUAUGUCUAGCAGAGCAGCGGCAUACCCAGUUGCUGGUUUUCUAUGGAGAUCAGAGGAUGAUGAAGAAUUGAGAGAGAGGGUUGCAGAGGAGUUCAAGAAGGAGGGGGUUGAAGAUAAAGAGACAAGCUUGUGAGAGAAAGAGGGGGUUUUGUUGGAGAUUAAGUUGGGUUUGGUGGUGGAGUGAAGGUGGGAUUGUGGAGGAAGUUUGUGUGUUCUGGGACUUUGAGGAUUGAAUUGAUGGAGCUCACGAGAUGAUGUUGAUGAAAGAAGGGUAGGGACUUUGAGGGUUGAGACAGAGCUUGACAGGGUAUCCAUGGAGGAGAGAGGAAGAGGAUAAGUUUCAGGCUUUCAGGUCAGCCACUAAAUGUCAACAAAUGGAGAUGAACUGCCUUGAAAGCAAUUUCUCUGAAUUAUUAUUUGUGAUUCAAAUUGACUUGUACGUUGCAAGCUUGCAAGCUGCGGAGUAAAACUUUGGCAGUUGGUAAGCUGUGAGGGCCCACUCACAAAUAGGCCAUUAAGCAAUACCAUUAAACCCAGCCCAUUCCAGCCCAUAAAUCAAGUGGUACAUCGGUGCUCGCGGAACAGUUUUUCUUACAUGUAAUUUCAUAUUUGGGUAAACUUGUAAUAUUUUGCAAAAUGUGCUGGAAAAAUGGUGGAUGCUAAUUUAGCAUGGAGAGGAGAAAAGUAGGAAAAAUGCAGCUAAUCCCUUGAGUGGUAGAGAAAUUAUCCCAACAUAUAUAUUUUUUGACAUCAAAAGAUCGUUUGAGAAGUACGUACUCAAUUAUAGUUAAAAGUGAAGCACAUAAAUCUUAGUAUUAUACGUGAAUUUUUCUUGUUUUAGUCAAUCUGUGAAAAUGUGGAUCCAUUCUUCAAUCACUCAGUUUUCAAUCCGCUAUUUUCAUCGUGGAUUUUCCCAUAUCCUUGAUGGAUCAAUGCCAUACAAACAAGUUCCACAUUGUUAACUUGUAGGUAGGCCUUCCCAAACACAAUAUUAAAGCAAUGCUCAUGUAUGUAGCAAUAACUACAAGCAUUGGUUGGUGUCCCCUCUGUUGAAAAAAAAAAGGGUCUAAUUGCUAUUUUUAAUCACACAGAAAUUCAGAAAUAAUUAUUAAAUUCGAACUUAAAAAUUAAUGCAUACUUAUAUAAUAUGGAAAAAAAAAAUCACAUAAGAUGGAUUAGAAGAAUUUAAAUAAUUGAGUCGAGGCAAGUGUUGGACACUCUGACUUUAAAAUGAAUGACGCCCCACAUAGGUACUUAUGGUUACUGACGCUCGCCUCCUAGGAUACAACGACUCAUGUCCUUGUGAAAGAAUUACUACAAUUCAUAAGGACUCUUUGAACCAAAUUAUGUAGGAAACUCUCUCACAGACCAUAAUCAGUGACUAUACUAAGACUCUUCGUAUUCAAAUGGAUAAACAUUAACUGAAUCAAUUCAAUUUUUUAAUUGCAAGAAGACUACUCUAUUUAUAGAUACUAAAGAAUUCCAAAAGGGUAUGUCCCAACACCCUGCUCAAAACUUUAUAUCAGGGUCGUCCCUGAGAUUUUGAGAGUCCUGUGCGAAACUUAAAUUGGGGCCUCCUAUAAUCUAAUAUGAAAAUACUAUAAAUAAAAAUUUGCCAUAACUUAAUGUCAUAAACAAUUUUUUUAUAACUAAAAGUCACCAUCAAUAAACAUGUAAUGAUAAUCAGAAAUCAAAUUCAUAAAAAUUUAAAUAUUUCCAUUUGAUAAAGUUAAAUAUUAGUAUAUUUAGUACAAAAAUAAGCUCUGUGUGCCCCUAUAAAGUCCUUUGCUACCUCCAAUAAGCAAUAUGUGUUUAAUAGAGAAAAAAAAAUGGCAAUCACAAAUUAAAGAGUAGUUGCACACAAAUGUCAUUAACAAAUUAGAUUAUAUUGCAUUAAAAACAAAACCAACAACAAAAACAUUCCUGACUAUCCAAAAAUCAUUCACGUUGUAUUUGCUGUCUUUAUUUGAAGAAUUAAAACUAUUAUGAGAGCUUUUUCCCCAAAAGAAAAAAAACACAGCUAGUACAAUACUAAUGUCUGAAAAUUGAUCUUCUUGAAUUUUUAGAAGAGAAAUCAUCAAUCAAAUGUUCAUAAUAAAGUUUUUCUAAAAGUUCACUUUUAAUUGAAAUCAAAGAGAGAUUGAUGAAUGAUAAUGAUUACUUACCACAAAAUCAGAGUUUAAGAGAAAGAAUAAGCCAUGAAGUUUAUUUUUUUGUUUUAAAAGAAUGAUAGGGGAGGAGUAGAAAGACUUUGGGCACCUCUGUUAAGUGGAGACGCGCUGGAAAGCCAACUCCACUACAGACACUUUUGUGGAAAUAUUUAGCAUGCUAUAGUAUAUAUACAAUUCUUAUAAAUUAAUAUAUAUAUAUAUAUAUAUACACACAUAGAGCUUCCAUUUUGUUGGCAUAUAUAUAGUAUUAAAAAAAAAAUUAGGGGCCCUUAAGAAUCGAGGGCCCUAUGUGAUGGCGCCACUUAUACCACCCUAGGGUCACCCCUGCUUUAUAUUCCUCUAAGAAUUGCCCUUUAUCAUCACUCAUAUUUCUUACGAAUGUCACUGAAUCAAAUAUUUUGUCGGUGCAAACAUCACAAAGGUUGUAUUGUUCUGCAGGCAGAGAAAAGCAUAAAGAAGUUCCACAUGUUGGAAUUUCAGUGUUAUUAUGAAAGUACAUUGUUGUAAAGAUGUGAUGAGUUCAAGUCUUUUUGGUAGAAAGAGUUUCUUUUCGUGAUCAAAGGUAAGAGGUGGUUGGAUUAUUGAAGUAAAAUGUGGACAAACUCUACGAAAAUAUUCUCAAAUAAACUUAUUUGAAGAAUUUUUUAAAUGAAAUCUUGGCUCUAAAUUAUUUAGCAGAGACAGACCUUAACCAAAUAAAUUUAAAAAAAACAGCUGCCUGUGUACUUUUAUUAUGUAUAGCAUUGAUUUUAAGAGAAACGUACAAGUGCAUGUCUAGCUACCCAACUACCGCUUUGAGAACAUAAGAGGAAUAUACAUAAUGUAAAAUGUCAUAUCGGAUUUUAUGAUGAGAAAGUAUUUUUGAAGGGCUUCAAUUCAAAUGAGCUGGAUCAUGAACAAGACCAACCCAUUAAGCACUCAGACUGGCUUCAAAUGAGUGAGUUUAUUAUCAAAGACCAAUCCAUUUUUGCUUGUAUUGUAAUGAUGAAAUCAACUUUUAUGAAAACCCCAAUUGACUCAUUUGUAAGUAAAUAUGCUGCUUAAUUUAAUUGGAUUACUUUAAUUAGUAACUCCCAAACCCCAAUUUCAGAACCAUUAAACAAAACUUGUACAGCUUUUGACUGACAGAGUUAGCCCAAAUUAUGCACAGCACAAUAUACUUUAUGAUUUAAUAAUGCACUAUGCAUUUAAAAGAGAGAUAGAGAGAGAGAGAGGGACAGCCAUUGUUUUCAUUUCUAGCUCUCUCUCUCCUUCCACCUGUUAUUGACAACCCUGUCUUGUCUUCUCCUCUUUUUCUCAAUCUUUUUCCUGUUGUUUUACUUGCUCCCACUGACAUCCUAGACUAAAUAAAAGACCAAGUCUUCCAAGUCCAAUUUCAAAAGAAAAACAAAGAGAGAGAGAGAGAGAGAGAGAGAGAGAGAGAGAGCACUGUAUAUCAUCUUUUUGAUCAUUGAUUGUUAAGUUGUGCUGAGAAAAUGAACCAAGAAAUGAAUGGGGUUGACGCUGAUCAGGUUCAGAGGGUAGCUCAGGAGAUUAAUGGGCAAGAAAAGAUAGACUAUGUGUUCAAGGUGGUGGUUAUUGGAGACUCAGCAGUUGGGAAGACUCAGAUUCUGUCCAGGUUUACUAAGAAUGAGUUCUGCUUUGACUCCAAGUCCACAAUUGGGGUUGAGUUCCAGACUAGGACUGUCACCAUUAAAGGCAAACUCAUCAAAGCCCAGAUCUGGGAUACUGCUGGCCAAGAAAGGUUUUAUAAAUCUCUAGCUCUCUCUCAACUUUUUUUACUUGAAUUUGAAUGGUGAUUGAAGCUUAAGCACUAUUGUAUGUAAUGCAUGGAGAAUGUUGCUUCCCCAGACUAUCUGACAAUAUAAAAUGAUUGCGUUGUUAAUCUGUGAAUCCGAACUAUUUUAAUUUUAUUCAGAAUGUGUGGUUUAAAUUUACAAUCUGACAACAUAAUUAUUUGUGCUGCAGUGUAAGUAAGUAUGUGAAGAGAACAUUACUAUCUAAUCCAUAAUCCACAUUACUAUGGAAGCAGAUGUAACUGUUCAAGCACAUUAAUAUAAUACUUUUUGGUUUAAAACUUGUGCUCUGUGUAGGGUAUAUGAAACAUGAAUUAUGAAUAUAUGAUUAGAGGUUUUAAUACAGUGUAUAUGUGACAUAAUCAACAUUUGUUUCUGAUCAAAAUGUGCAAUAAAUAAAUUAAAAAGGGGCCUUCCCUAUUGGUGGAUUUGGGAUCUAGGUCUAGCUAGUGGCACUGUGCCAAAUGAAGAUAAGACCAGCUUCCCAGCUUUUGUGCUUUUGCUAUCAGUGUAGUUUUGCAACAUGACAAAAAUGAGUUCAUUAGUAAUUUAGUAUGAGCCCAUACGUACAGACAUACAGGCUGCUUCUUCUUUUUUCUUUCUACUUUUCUCUAGAUGACAGACAUGAAUGUGCACAGGGAUCUGUAUAAAUGGUAAACAACCUGAUUUUAUGCUGGUACUGUUGUUAUGUACUGAGCUCUCUCUCUCUCUCUCUCUGCAUAUCAUUAAUUUCAGCAACAACAUUAAAUGUACUGCACAAGUGCAUUCAAAACUUGCUGCUAUAGAACCAAUCUCAAAAUUAAAUCUGUGGGACAGAGUGUAGGUUGAUCCUAUUUAUUAGAUUUGGACAAGAAUUGAGAAAAUUUAAAGACAAAUAUACUUAAAGAAAAGCAUGUUUGUUGAUGGUCCUUGUAGGUAUAGAGCAGUAACAAGUGCAUACUAUAGAGGUGCAUUAGGGGCAAUGCUGGUGUAUGACAUUACCAAGAGGCAGACCUUUGAUCAUGUUGCUAGGUGGGUGGAGGAACUCCGGGCUCACGCUGACAAUUCGAUCGUGAUCAUGCUGGUUGGGAACAAAGCUGAUCUUGGGGAGCAGAGAGAUGUGCCCACAGAAGAUGCAGUUGAGUUUGCUGAGGAUCAAGGGCUGUUCUUCUCUGAGACAUCAGCCUUCAGUGGUGAGAAUGUGGACACUGCAUUCUUUAGUGUCCUAGAGAAGAUAUAUGGGGUGGUGUCUAAGAAGGCAUUGGAAUGUGGCAAUGGAAACAAAUCCAAUGGGGUUGCUCUUAAAGGAGCUAAAAUUGAUGUUAUUUCUGGGUCUGAGUUGGAAAUUAGUGAGAUGAAGAAAUUGUCUGCUUGCUCUUGUUGAUCUAAUUGUAUUAGGUGAGGGGGCCGGUGGUAUAAUUUUUCAACUUGUUUACUGCCACAUCAGGAUGAGCCAUUUAUGUUUUCUUUUCUUUCUUUUUUGAAUUUGUUUGAUUUUGGGUAACAAGUAAAAAAGAAGCUAAAGGCCUUGAAGGGAAAAAGUAAGUGUCAAAUUCUCAUUCCGAAAUGCGGAAUGUGGGGCAAGUAACUUAUCACUGGAGUUAUAAGUCUUCUCGAUUGUAAUAUGAUUGUAAUUAUCAUGAUUGGUUUUUGAAUUUAAUUUUUCUUUAUAUACACAAGCGAUAUUGAGAGAAGGGGACUCAAACACAAGAAGUCAAGUGCAUGAAUAAUUGUUCUUAAUCACUUAAGCUACAAGCUUCUUUCAUUUGAAUUUCAAUUAAGAGCUUAACAAUGAACACUUACUGCAUAUGGCAGAGAUACGUAUAGUAUACACAACAUGGCAUUUUGCAUAAUAUGCCAACAAAAGAUCCGUACGGUACUUGAUUGGUUGGGUCGGGCGACCCACCUCAAUACAAAAGAGAUGUUUUGUAGGUGAACUGUCAAAUGUGGACCUUGGCAUUCAGUGGCAGGGCCCGAACCAUUGGGCCUUCCUUUCUUUCUUGUCAAAAGCUGGGCCCUGGUCAAGUAACUCACUUUUUUUAGAAGGUUGGAGGAGCAAUGAAACGGUGCGUUUGAAGUGGCUCAAGGUGUGUAAAACGACAAGUCGUCCGUCUGUUUGAUGGAAAAUAAUAGAGUUGGACUGCAUUGCAUUAUUUGAGCGCAUUGCACGAAUGCUGAAUGGUAUUUUUCCAUGUUUGGGGUUUGCAUGGCAUUUACUUGAGAAAAUACAAACUCCAUAAGUUUGAGAUUUUGCCUUCCCAAAAGAAACGAAUAAAUAAAUAAACUUGUAAUAUGCAAUAUAUUUAACUGAAUCAUACAUGUCACUCAAGCAUUAAAUUUAUUUACUUAGUGGGAAGCGCUUUUCGCCAAAAUUUUCUCCGACCCAAGACUAUUAAGUGCCGCGUAAAGGGUGUCAAUCUACCUCACCUGAGCCUGUCAAGCAACAAAUUACCCACCAAAGAGGCUAAAACAACCUAAUUUACACAGCUUGAAAAUAAUAGUGCCCCAACAUCUUCUUUCUUUUUCGUUUCCUUUUGUCUUUUUGGGCAACAAAUUAGGGAUCUGUAUUCACCAAGGUAGUGUUGGUACAGAAAAAUCUACAAGCAUCACCCAAAAACAUCAUUUUCUAUCAAAUUUCCUUUCUUUCUCUUUCUCUCUUUUUGCUGGCAAAGUUGAAGAAGUUUGUUGAGCUAGCUCAUCUAUCAAUCUCCAAAACAGCAUCAAACACAAUCAUGAGUUAGGUUAUGGGUAGCAAACUCAAAAGUAGAACAACAUAUCAUAUAAAACAAGGUUAUAAAAUUGGAAGGAAAUCAUUUUCCUUUUGAAGUAUCUUGCAUAACAUUUAUGAUAUAACCCUUGCUUAGCUUAAGCACUCAUUAUAUCCCAACCACUUAAGCUUUAGCAAUAAUGAUGCAUUACCUUUUGGUGUAAAGUUUAACAUCAAGUUCAUGUAACUUAUUUAUUUACUUAUAAGCUUUAAUUGGUAUGACAUCUCACUAGAAAAUGUAUGUUUUCAUGAACUGAUGUGGCAUGAUUAUUUGUUAUCGUCGAUGAUUUAUGGCUAAAAGGCAAGGUAAUGUUUGGUUUAUUUGAAGCUAACAAUAAUUUUACAAUAUACUACCUUAAAAUUGUGCCCGUGAAUUAUAAGAAGUGUAUGAUAAUAUUUUUAGAAUGUGAAUUAUAUAUUCGAAUAAUUUUCACUUAGAGAAAUUAUCACACUUCUUUUAAAUACAAGUAUUAUUGAGGAAUAUGGGCUGGGGAUGGGUGCCCAGCGUGACAAAGAGAGAGGGAUUGGGGUUGGGAGGAAUUGAAGGAGGAGGAAGGCAUGGGUUGCGAUAAUGGAGGAAGGGGAGGGUUGUGGAUGAAUUUUCGAAUUUAUCUUUAUUUUUAACAGAAAAUUUAAUAGAAUUUGAUGGAACCAAUGACACAACACGAUACAUAAUUGGAGAACCUUUACAACUGUUUUUGAAAUUGAGAGAUAAAAAUAUAACUACAAAUAUAGUUUAGAGACUAUUGCUACGAUUAAGCCUAAAAAAAUUCCUUGAAUUGGUUGUUGUGGGACAUGUAUAGGGUGGCAAAAGGAGUAGGCUUGAUCAUGCUGUCUGGAGCAAUUUGGUCCACGUCCAUAUCAGGCAUAUCAUCGAGGCAUUGAACUUUUAAUUGAUGAGAUAAAAGAACCCAGCUGGCCUGUCUCAGAACAUACCUGAACUGAUACCCCUUAUAAUUGCAAUAUAUUUAUAUAUACAUAUUUUGCCAGAUUCAUGUCAUAUAAUGAUGAGGAGGUCGAAAAGUAAGUAAAAUCAACAUAAAAUGAAUUGGUUAAUUAUUUUGAUUUGGAAUGUAUAUACAUAAAUUUAAUAAAUAAAAAAUCAAUCACGAGACAACAUUUUGCAAAUAAAUUUUGUAUUGUUGGUGCAAAUUAUAGUCAGAUAUAUAUACAUAAAUGGAGAUGAUCGAGCUGCGAAGUUCAUUCAUGUAAAGUAUCGUAUUGCCAAAAAUUGUCUUUCUAAUUUGAUUAUAAAAAAAAGAAAGAUGAUGUCUUUCUAUUUUGCUUUUUCAUUUUUUUCGUGUGUUUGCUACGGCUAUCAUCCUAUUUAUUUUUGUAGGGUUAACAUCCUAUUUAUUUAUUUAUCAUAAUUUAGAAAGUUGCUUAAAUUGUUGGUCAAGGACGAUUUGGCCAACUUUCAUACAAGUUCAUAACAGGACUUUUGCUUUUGGAGGCAUCGCAUAAAUCAGCUUCUCAAGAAAAAGAAAAAAAAAAUCAUGGCUGGUAUGAAGCACAUUAAACUACAUAAAGAGAUGACUAAUAUUUUGUAAUAUAUAUAGUGUAUAUGUAGUAUGUUAGGUAAAUGGUAACGAUCGAUCACAAUUGGCACAUUCAUACAUAAUUUUAAAAGAAAAAUACUUACCUACUUUUCUAGAAGUAGGAACUCCUAUUUUCCUGUUAAUCACAGUUUGACAUGUAUGAAUUAUUUUUACAUAUGUGUCAAACUGUUAUUUGCAAGAAGUAGGAAUGCACUUGAGUGCAGUGUCCAUUUUAAAAUACAUCUAGCUUAAGAACAUAAUAUAUAAAAUAGUUCCACAAUAAUAGCAUACUUUCACACCUUUGUGUAUCUAAAAUGAAAUAGCAAAAUGAAAAUGACUUAUGUUGAUGUCCAAAAAUGAAACCAACUUCAAAGUGAUCCACCUUCAGUCAGUGGAUCUGCAAAGAGAGAUAGAGCAACGGUAAGGCUCUAGGCACCAAUGUGGUAUUAGCCGAAGGCUCUCCGAUACUUAAGUUAGCUGAAUGAUGGAGUGAAUAAAUAAUUGGAUAUAAUAAGAGUACUAGUGCCAAAUUACUGCUAUCUCGUGGUUUGGGGCAUGAGCUCAAUUUAUAGAGGACAGAGGUGGACCACUAUGGGUUAUAGUUUCGAUACGAGACUUCUGGACAUUGUCCGAGAGGCCGCUACAUGUCCUUGUGUGAAAGUAGCACGACAUGUGCCUUUGUUGAGCCGAAUCAAUGGGUGAAGUUGCCGAAGGCUAUCCCUUGCUGAUGGUCGCUGUGAGUUCUAGUGACUGAGCUGGGUCACGUGGGUCAUUUGUUUUAGGUGUUAUAGUUGAGAGGGUCCGAUCAGAUAUGGUACAAACAACUUAACAAUAAGCAUUUGACAGACACAAUUUUCCCAAUAAAUUUACAAUCCCCAUUUUAUAUAAAAGAAGAAGAAGAAAAAAAAACUUGAAUCUCCCACAACCACUUCUCAAUGAUUUGGAGAAUCAUUUUGAGAAUUGACUAGCAAACGAGUAUUAACUUACCAUUAUUCGAGGAAACAAAUGAAGACGAUGAACCAGUUGUCCAUGCUUAAUUGCUGUCCAUUUCCUUUUCUUAUUAUUGUCAUAUAAAUAAAUAUCAUAUGUUAAUUCUGAUUUCAAUUAUUUUGCUUUCAAAAUUUUGGCUGAUUCUGCGAUUUAAAGACAAAAAUGACUUGAAAAGGAAGCAGGAUCAUAUACCAUCAUGACCAAUGAUGAGAGCAGAAAAAAACAACCUUUAAAAUUAGCAACAAAGAAAAAGGAAUAUCAUUUUGCACAAAAUAGUCAAAUGCAGUGACAUCACCAAGACAUUGUUUGUUCGGUCACUUGCAGUAGCUUAAUCUAUUUUUCUUUGAUUCUUCUGUAUUGUAUUACUAAUUUGUAAAUAUUAGAGUAAUUGCUAUUUGUCAUAUAAGAAUUAAGGUUAAAAAUAAACAGAGCGUCCAUUUGUGAAUGCAUUGACUUUGUUAAGCAUAAUUUGAUUGCUGAUUUUUUGGUGUUACACAUUACUAAUUUUGCAUCUUGGUUGGUGUAUGCUUGUAUGGUAAUAAAACUUCUUUAGAUGAGACUCCAAUUUGGCCUUUUGUUGUUUGAAACUCGACAUGAUAGGACUAAACUAACCGUAAUGUCUGGUAUACAAUGAAUUUAACAAUCGUACAACGUGGAUUUGUAACUCAAGUAAGUGGUUAAGAAGAGUUAUUCCUAUCCUUGAAUUCUAUUUCCCUUUCUGUAAUUCAUGAAUAGCUAAUUUUUUUAAGGAAAUUAAAACAAUGUCAUUUACAUGUUCAGUGUAUCAACAAAAGGCAGUGCAUUCCAACAAAGGGAAGAAGAAGAGGAGAAAGACAGAAUCACAUUCCCAAUUGUGUCAAUUAAUCUAUCCACAAAAGCAUCCAAUCCCAACUAACAAAUAUCCAAAUAUCAAACAAAUAUCAAAACAAAUUGUUGGUUUUUGGUUCUAAUUAAAUUAAGCUGUAUUCUGCUGCAUUUCCCCCUAUAUUGAUUCUCUGUUCUUCCAGAGACCCAAGGGCAAUGUCCCCCCAAUUACAACUCGACACGUUGCAUCGAACAUGCCCCUUCAAAACAUAGCCAUUUCUGAGCCGUCCGAUCAGCCAUCCCUGUUCGCCGAGCCAGCAUCGAACGACUGAGAAUGAGAGCUCCUGUUGCUCUUCAUCCUCAAGAACCCAUACAACUUCCUAAAGUCCCUAACGGUAUGAGCGCCUUCCCCGCAAAACACCCCGCCGGGUUCAACCAUUUCGUCCGCGGACUUUCUCGAUCCGACAUCAAACCCCACCCGCCGCCCGAACAUGCCGAUCCCCCUCCCAUCGCCGUCCGUUUGCAGAGCCGUGAUGACCGAUUUAAUGGCCCGACUCGGCGAGUUCCGGUUCGCGAUCAUCAACUCGCCGAUCUCGGCCGGGCUCAAACUUGACCCAUUCAGAAAAAUCUCCUCCACCUGAGAAAAAAGCUUGUGCUCUUUCACCCCCAAAUAACUCGUCGCUAGAUUUUUGAAGGCUCCGAAAUCGCAGAGCGGAAAAUGGAUAUGGACGUCGAUCCGACCCGGCCGCAGAAAGGCCGGGUCAACGUGGUCCUUCGAGUUCAUCGUGAACACCAUGACCCGCUCCUCCGCGCAGCACGAGUUCAACAACCCGUCCAUGAAAUUCGAUAUCCCCGAAAAGCUCAAACCCGUCGAUUUCUCGGCGAGAUAUCGGUCCAAAUCCUCUAUCACAAUUACCGACUUGGUCGUCGUCUGCAACAGAAGCGUCUUCAGCUCUGAAUCGUCUUUGACUCUCGACAGAUCGAGAUCGUACACAUCGUAGUUGAGGAAAUUGGCCAUGGCGGCCACAAAGCUUGAUUUUCCAGUGCCCGAUGGCCCGUAUAGCAAAAAGCUCCGUUUCCAAACCCGACCCAGUCUGUGGUAAUAUUGCCUGGCCUUGAGAAACGACUCCAAAUCGGAUUUUACCUUGGAUUUGAGAUCGGCUUCCAUGGUUAUGGUCUCCAAGGUGGAUGGGUGCGUGAACGGGACGGCUCUCCAUGCUCGAUUGGGAGCAUCAACGUUCAUGAAAAGCCUCAAGUCUCGUUUUUUCUGCUCCAGCUCAUCAGCGACGACAUGGAUGUGCUGCAAAUAAGGCCUGAGAAUCCGACGCUUAUCGGCUUUUCGAAUCUUCAACACUAAGCUUCUGCUCGUACUGUCUGUGCUGGCCCCUGUUUCCCAUAGCACCUUGGCGCCGAGGAAGUCGUCUUCGAUGGUCUGGUUUCGGUCGAGCUUGAGUACAAUUUCAUUGGGUUUUUUGCCCGUGACGAGAUUGGUGAAAUCCGAUUCUUCAAUGGAGGUGAGAGAGUUGAGAUAGUCGGUGACUCUGCCAUAGAGGUGAUUUUCCUGCAUGCUUUCGUUGAAUUCUGGGACUUUGAAAGAUUGGUAGACAUGGAAGCAGUCUUCGAAUCGCCUCCACCAUUUCUUCACAAGAAAAACCAACCCAGUUUUGUACAGAGCCACACGGAUUGCUACAAAUAUACAGACGGUUACAAUUACAAGAAAGAAUGGGUUGGAAAGAAUCAUUCUUUUUCUUCUUUUGAAAUUUUGGGGCAAAAACCCAGUUCCCAAAACCAAAAGGUUGGGAAAUUUGGUGAUCUAUAGCAGAGCUUUUUGUGGUGAAAAGGGAAUUUUCAUAAGUCUUUUCCUUCUUUUUGAAGGGAAAAUCAUGGUGGGUACAGAGAGAGUUACGAAUACACUUGGGUUCGGAAGAAGAAGAUGAGUAAAUGGAAAUAUGGAGAAAAAAAAAAGGAAAAAAAAGGGAAAUUUAUAUACAGAUGAGAGAAGAUGAGGAAUGUUAAAUGGGGAAGGGAUUGAAAUUUGAAGGUAGAGUAUUUAAUUGGAAGACGGCUACUUGCCGGCAGGUUUCGAUGGGUCAAAGGCGGAGAGAGAGAGAGAGAGAGAGAGAGAGAGAGAGAGAGAGAGAGCAAGCAAAUUAAGCGAAAGUAAAGGCUAAAGCUGUGUUUGGAUUGAAAAUAUUAAUAUAAAUAAGAUUAAUGAGAGAUUUCAAAUUGUCCUUCAUUUGCUAGCUGCUGUCCAGCCCAUUGAUGAUGUGUUUUAUGGGCCUUUCUUUAUUAGAUUAAAUGCAAGACUUUUUUCUUUUAAUUUUGAAUCUCUCUAAUAAUUAUAAUAUUUCUUUACCAUAUAGUACCAAUAAUCCAAUCAUAUUCUCAGCAUAUAUGGUAUAAUUAUUUUUCUCAACUCACAGAUUUAUGAAGUUUCCAACUCAGAGUGUGUGGAAAAUCAUAUUCUGAUUCGGUUUUGUAAUAAUAAUUGUUGGUCUACCAAAUGGGCAAUUUAAAUUUGAUUUUUGAUGCUAAUCCCCACAAAAGAAAAUUGAUUCGAAUUAUUAGGUUUUUUUGUUUUUUUUUUGGCUUUGUAUAUUCUCUCACAUCUUUAUCUUCUUUUUUUUUAUCUCCCAUGUUCAUCUUUACUUUAAAAAGAGCGAAUUAUUGCUACUUAACAAAGUGUGAGGCCUACUAAACAUUAAAAUAAAAACUCGAUUUCAUUUUAUGGUAAAAUUACAUGAAAGGAUAAACUUCAAAUUAGGACUACCAGCUAAUCUAACUAGGAUCAUAUGACCGUACUACCAUAUUACAUUAUAAUUACUCUUAAUCUAAUAGUAUUCUUCUUCAACCAAAGAUGCCAAGAUAAUGAAGCACUAAUAUGCCAGCGGUAAUGGCCGUCACAGUUCAAAAUGAACAAAAAGAAAUAAAAAAUUUAAUAGCACAUAAUAGGUGAAUACGGUGAAUAAAUGGGGGAGUAGGGUUAUCGCUACUCUCUAAAAAUUGAAAAAUAUAAAUAAAUACAAAACCGCUUUAUUUGAACAAAAUUCAUUCAAGUUUUAGCUACACGUAUCCUACUAGUAUAUGUAUUCGUAUAUUCUUUCCUUGUUCUCAUAUCAACUACCCACCUCUCCAUUUUUGUUUCUUUUGGGCUUAUACAUACCGACCCCUUCCAUGAAAUCAUCAUUGAUCCAAGUGUCCCUAGCUAGCUGGUUGAAGAUAUCACCAACCUCUAUGAUCUAUGGAGCUUCUUAUGUCAUUUAUGAGAUCCGAAUUCAAGUGAACAGUCCCGAUUUCUUGGACCACAAGAGUUCAAGUGAUUGUGGUCACCCACCGUUGGAUAUUAAUCUAAUGGUUCAAAAAAGUUUUCUAAAAUGAGUGCAAGAGUGAGUGAACCGUUGAAUUUACAUCCAACGGUGAGUGACCACAAAUAUCUUGGACCCCUGUAGUCCAAGAGAUCAGGACUGUUCAAGUGAAUAUGUUAUGACGUUUUACUUGUAGCUGUGACAUACCAAGAAACAACAACCAAUACUCGUUUGCCCUAGUUUUUUCUCCAUAUGGAAGGAGACCGACCAAGGUUAGCUAAAGUUUUGUCAAUUUUAUGGCCGAAUAUUCAACGCUAAAUUCAAACAUUUUUGAAAUUCUUAUGUGUACGCAGUCUUUUUUCUUUUGGUCAAUACGUUUACAUAGCCUAAGUGUGACAGAUACAAACAAAAAUGAAGGCGGAAAAAGCCUCCUUUUUCUUUUGUUUCCUUUUAGAAUUCUACACUACUCAUUCAUCAACUUUCAAAGUUGAACUAGCGUCAGCACUACACUUUGAAGGGUUCAAAAGGCCAAUUUAUCCCAACUUGUGUAUGGUGUCAUUUAUCAUCAACUUUUCCUUUUGAUUUUGGCGGAUUUUAGAUGACCAAAAGGUUUUCCAUAUGAAUUUUGUUUUUUUGGAUUAAUCAACACGAGAUUAUUCUUUGAUUCCUUGUAGAAUAUUUUGGCCCCGAAAUGACCGAAAGCCGGUGCAACUUUGUAAGGCCAGUGAAAAGUUGAUUAAGAUCGAAGAUUAUUAUAGAAGCUUUUGGCAUGACGCUGUUGAUAGAGAGCUCCACGUUGAACUUUUUACGUGUGGAAAGUUCAUAAAAUAAAAUGAAUAUUUUAGAAACUGGAUUAAAUAGUUGAUUGAGUUUGACUAGUUCACUUUUUUCUUUCUUUUUUUUGUUUGUCAAAACACUAGGUCAUGUUAAUUACCACUGAUAAUUUAAUUUGCACAUCAACUUGUUACUAAUUGAGCCGAGUCUUAUAACUACGUCAUGUAACAAUACUUUUCGUCCGUAUACUCACCACAAAAAUUCGACUCUUACUAUUUUUUUCAUAUCUUAAUAAAAAGUAACACAAAUUCUGUGGCAUAUGAUUAACGAAAUAUAUUAUUUACAAUGGUAUGAUUAAAUAAUUAAACAAAAACUCUUUAUUUAAGGCUUAAUUUUUAUCUUAUUAGACGCGGCUUAAACACGGGUUUGGGUGGAGCAGAUAUUGUCUGGCUCACUUGAGAGAGACUUUGAAUAUCCAUGAGAAGAUAAAAACAAGGCACUGGCACUUUAUGCAAAAAUUGCAAACUCCUUUCUGCCUACGCCAUUUGGUUUUGAAUGUUAUUUUAUGUUCAUAGCCCCAUUAAUAUUGUCAGCUUCCUAUUAACUUUAAACACUUUUGUUUAGCCUUAAUUUUCAACCCUACGAUUCCCCUACUUUAGUUGUCGGUUAUUGGACUUCUUUCUUGUAAAUGUUGGUGCUCAUACAGACAGCAUUAGUAUGCGUGACGACUAAGUCACCUUCACAUAUAUAACUUCCUAAUUAAAAUAAAUCUUGUAUACCAAUUCUUUUGAAGAGUGCUCGGGACAGUCACGGACAUUGCCCGUUCGUACUCAUUUGUGCAUGGGCGACUUUCGUAGCAUAUUUCACCCUUUGUUAAGAAAAACCCAGUUGGUUGUGUUGACUAGGGUAGCCACUAACUAGUUGUUGUGAUUUAGUCUUGUGUGUUAGGUUGAAUAUGGACUUUUAAAGCGUCUUGCAUAUGCAUUAUGGGACUAAUUCAAGUUAAUAAUUAUUAAUUAAGUCGAUAACUAGUUAGUUAAACACACACUCCAUGAAAAAAUAAGUCAUUUUAAACUUGACAUCGUUUUGUGUUGAAAAGGGAAUUUGAGGUGGGAUAAGGGAGAGUUGUCACAUUUGCAGUGGUUGUGGCUGUAGAUGAUCACCAAAAACUAUCUACCAAUUAGAAUUUUUAGGUAUAAAACAAAAAGAAGCAAAAUCAAUAAGACAAUGAUUCUGUUUGUAAUUAGGUUGUACCUACAACGUGUAUGUAUUUUGGAACACACAAUUUGAUGGGUUAAGGUUUCGUGUAUGUAUUUUGUGGCAGUCGUGUUGCAGGGUUUCAACAUCUUUUUUCGUGAAACUCCAUAAACAGUUGAGAAGAUAUUAUUGACAGCCAUCUGUUUCUUCUUGAAUGAAAAUUCCAUUUUGUAUUCGUCUGAAAUUUUUUAUUUUCUGACCUUCUCGAUUAUGCGCGGUCCUAAAUCAAUUUGGAAACAUUUUUUUAUUUUUCUGGCAAUGUUUAUUUGGGUCAAUAGAUUUUCUUGGCGAAUGUAGCUUAGAAUUGGAAAAUGAGAUGGGACUUUGCCCGAGCCAUUCGAUCCAUCGAGGUGGCCGGGCUGGCCCAGUUCAGCUUGCUAAGUCUCAUUUGGUCCAGAUUCUGUCCAUGGACGACAUAAUUCCAAACGUGUGAGUAGACAUUGGGUCGGACCAAAUAUAACACAAGUAAGAGCCUUUUUAUUUAUUUAUUUAUUUUUUUAUAAAUAUCAUUUUAAUUUUUUUAAAAUAUAAGUGAUAGUAUAAACUACAUGAGAUGGGGGCUUCUCACAUACAGUGCUAAAGUGCAAUUUUUUAAAACAUAAUGAGCUAAAAAUUUGAUAUUGCUUGAUAUAGAUUUGAGAUUGGAUCAUAAAGCUAAAGACUACCAUGUAUCUUCAAUUUUUAUUUGCCCCUUCAAAUGACCCAAUGUCCUAAUUUCGAAUUAAGGGUGUUCUCCAUUUGGUUAAAUUAACCAUGAUUUAAACUAAUGUUAUAAAAAAUAAAAAUAAAAAUAAAAAGGCUAGUCGAUGGAUAGAGAAAGGGGAAUUAUAAUAAACUACUAAAUGGUGUCUUAGAGGUUGAAACCUCCCCACCACCUUACUAUUGUGGUAAAGACCCAUUGGCUUGGUUAAAUUACUUUUGUUUGGUGAAUAUUUCGUAACAUGACAUAAAUUGGAGACUUAAAAAUUAGAUUGUUUGCAUCACUAAACUACUGACCUUACCAAGUGUUAUGGGACAAUAGAACUUGAGAGUUAAUAAAGCCAAGAACACAUCCCAAUUCAAUUCUUUUUUCCUACGGCUAUAUCACGAGCAAGUUUGGCUACUGAUUUUGAUCUUGGCUUUCUUUUUUUUGGGUCAAAAGUAGGAAGACUCGGCCAAGUUUGGCUAUUGAUUUAGUUCUUUAGAUUUUCUUUUACGGCACAGAAAAAAUUACACAAAUAUUAAAGUAAGUUGCAAACAAACAUAACAACAAUUACAUUUAAGCAAGUGCACAUGCUUAACAAUAGAGGGGGAAAAAAAUCAUUACAUCAGUCACUAAAUAAUAGAACCGCAACACAUUGGAGCAUCAAUAAAUUUUCUUACAAAAGAAAAGUUGGUACAUCUACCCAAUAUGGAGGUUGCAUGGUCUUCUCCAUAAAAGCGUUAGCAUAUGAGGUGUAAGGUUGUGAAAAGCUUUGACGUUCAAUGUCAUAAACACCAAAAUCACGACGCAAAGGCUUUUUGUCAUAACCUCUUUCUAUACGUUCAUAAUCAUGGUUGAAGUAUAUGCAAUUUAAUCGACAUCCUGAAAAAUUCGAAGCUACUACAAAUAUUGAAAAAUUAUCACUCAAAAAGAGAGCAACAUCUCCUAAGGUGUUUUUCUCAACCCACUCAUACUUGUCGUCGAAAUUCAAUUCGAGUAGUUCAACUUUUGUCGUCACACGACAUCUAUCUUUAAAUGUAAUAUACCUUAGAACCAUCAAUUAUUCUUUAUCAUUUGAAACCACGAGAUAUGUCUUUUGCACCUCAUCAGAUUCAAUGCCUUGUGCAACCAAUUGUUUAUUGGAGAUACACUGACUAGUAAUAUCAAAUUCAACAACAUAAAACUUAUCUUCAACAUGAACAACAUCUUGAAUAAAGGACAAGCUUUCAUCAACGUAAGUCCAUGUUGUGUCUUUAUUGAGUUUGAUGAAAGCCAAUUUACCCCGUCCCUCAUAUGUGGCAAGAACAAUGCAAUUGUUGGGAUUUAAUAUUUGAUCCGCUGAUAUUGUAGCCUUGAUGACAAAUGCGGCAAUCACUUGUUCAUGCAAAAAAUUACCAUAAUUACGGUCUAGUGGAGGAAGAUUGAUGAUGGAAUCUUCUCUCUUUUUCUUCCCCUUAACCCUAUAAAAUGGAUUUAUUAGAGUUACUACCAAAUUCAUGUUCAUAGCUAUUAACCAUCCUUUUGCAAAACCACAAAAUCGCUUCUUUGGCAAUUUGAAUUGCACAUUAAGGACAUUGUCAGUCAUGAGAUUGUAUAAAUUCCAUGUAGCUUUCUUGGCACUUUGAAUCAAGAGCAUUGGAGGAUGAGAACAAUCUGAGAAGAUGAAAAAAUAAAUAAAUUAGAGAGAUCAUAGUUAUGUAAAAACAUAUAUAAAUUACAGAUACAAUAUUAAUAAACAGUUUUUAUGUACGAAACAAACCCAAAAAAAAAAGUAUUGAAUGCAUACUUUCAAACGCCAAAAAAAAAAAAAAAAACCCUUUAUCUCUAUUCAUGUCAUGCAGAAUUAAAUAUACAUUUAAGUAAAUAAUAGUAUGAGAUCUGGAGAUAACUGCCGGAAAUGCUCUUACUUCGUAUGCACGGUUUUGAUAUAGCUAUUAUGUACUUAUCUUACCAUUAGAAGUUUUCCUUCUUUUUUCCGAAUAUUCAUGAUGUUUCUGUGGGUCAAUAGAUUUUCUUGGUUUCCAAGCACGACAAAAAAAAUACUACUUUGUCUGAGGCAUUUAACCCAUCAAGAUGGCCGGGCUUGCCCAGUUCAGCUUGCUAAAUCUCAUUGGGCCUAUAUUUUCUGUACUUGGACCACAUGAUUUCCAAACCCGUGAAUAGAAAUUGGGUCGGAGACCCAAGGGACAUUUUCAGCAUUAUAUGCUAAACUUUUGAUAUUGCUAAUUGCUAAAUGAAUUUUAAAAUUAAUUGAGUAUGUCUAAAUUAUUUAUUGAAUUAUUAAUUUAUUUUAAUAUAAAAUGAUUAAAAAUAGUAUAUUAAAUUAUCUACCCCAAUAUAUACACAUUCCUUAUGACUUUACACAUGUUCAUUAUUAUAACUAUGGUCAACUUUUUAAUUUUAAUCUUUUAAAGUAUUUAAAACCAAAAAAUAAAAUAAAAUUUUACAAAGAGAAUAAAAUUUUAAGCUUUUGAAUCCAUGCCUUCAAACAAAUUGACUUAAUUUUCAACAAACAACACGGAAUCCAGGAGAAGUGUAUUGAUCCAAGUUGAUUUUUGUAUGCUUAAAACUUAAACAAUCAAUAACACAAACCAGGUGGUGGUGGUUGCAGAGGGAGAUAUUAUAAAAAUUAAAAGAAAGAAGAAGAAGAAGGAGAGAGAGUUGUUAAAAUAUUAUUUUAAAUCCUUUAAAAGAUUAAAAAUUAAAGAGGGUGUACUAUAAGUAUUUUUGGCAGUUAAAUAUGGUGUAUUUAGUUAAUUUUAUAUUUUGAUUUAAACAUUAGGGUGUACUUAGAUCGUAAGGUAUAGUCAAUUAAUUUUAGAGUUCGUUUAGCAGCACUCUAAAACUAUGUAUCUUCAAUUUCUAUGUAUAUAUUUUUUAAUUUUUAAACAAUUCAUAGUCUAAAUUACGUAGGGCUAGUUUGGCAUUACUGUGUUGUAAAAAUAAUCGUUGUCAGAUUUGCUGUAAGAGAAAUCAAUUGUAAAAAAAAGCAAUUUGGCAUUUGGUAAACUUUUUGUUAAAAGUGUUGUUGAUAUUGAUUCUCGCAUAAUCAGAAAAUGAAAGCACUUCAUUAGCUGUUUUUCUUAUAGUUUUCUUUCACAACAAUUUUUAACAAUAAGUGAUUUUCUCAUAGUUUACCAAACGGGCUGGGUUUCUAAUUUUUUUUAAAAAUCAUUUAUCACUCUAAAUAAGUAAUACCAAAUGGGUACUCAAUCUAAUUUACGGAAAUGAAAACUCGAAUUUGAGUUUACAGGCUAAUUAAUCUAACAUAUGUAUGUUGAGAAACUGUUAUUAUGCAUAAAUAUUCUUUAGCUGAGAAAUUUUUCUAACAAUUCACACAUCUAAUUGUUUUGAAAUAGACAAACAAAUACUAUUGGUGUUCUCCAUUUGGUUAAAAUAAUCAUGAUUUUAAAAAACGGUUAAAUGACUUUAGAUUUAUCAAUGUUUUGUAACAUGACAUAAUUUGAAGACUUAAAAAUUAGAUUGUUUAGAUCAUUAAACUACAAUGUAUAAUAGAUGUGGAUUUUAACUCAUAUUGGGAAAUUCAAAGUUUAUUUUCAAUUUUUUUGUUUAAGCAAUAAUUUAAAUUGAGGAAAGAUAAUUUCUCACAUUCACACACAAUCAAUGUGUUCUUACGAUUUGAACUGAAAACCACUAAUAUGAGUGUCAAUACUUUUUUUUACUAAAUUACCCGUUAGCAAAUUCAAAGUUUAUUUUAUUUAGAAGACGAAAUAAAUACGAGAGUAAACUCUAACCUGAGAGUAAAAAAUAAAAACCGACAACAGAACUUGAGAGUUAAUGAAGCCAAGAACACAUCCCAGUUCAAUUUUUAAUCCUGAGGCUGUGGAUCAGCCUCGUUCCUUCCGUAACAGUGAAAGAUUAUAUGCCAACAUCAACAAACCACAGCAAACCAAAUGGACACAAAUCUCAUCUUUCAAUCUCCCUUUCCUUAUCUUUUCCCUCUACACUUAGAAAUCUGCUGUCUCCCUCUCUACCCCGCGAACAGAGGAAGAGAGCAUGUCAGCCACACUCAGCCUCCUCAAACUCCCUAUUCUUCCCCCAAAACCCAAGCAAUGUCUCUCAAAACUUCAACAUUCUUCGAUCCCAAAAAAACCCAGUAUUGCCAAGGACUCAGCUAGUCCUCAAAAGCUCAUCACAACUACUAUUCACCACCUGAAGUCAACUUCUCUCCCACUCACAGCUGCCACAUUGCCAUUUUUACUGGACACCAAGGCAAGUACAAAUUUAGUAAUUCAUUUCACUCUCAUUUUCUAGUUUCUGCAUGCAUUUCAAAAUCAGAACUUUACCCAUGUUCAUAUGUUCUUCUUCCAUUUCAAAUUUGGGUUUUUUAUUUUUUUAUUUUUUCAAUUUGUGGGUGUGGAUUAGGAUGCACUUGCUGUUGGUGGGGAGUUUGGAAUAUUGGAGGGAAGGACAUUUGCUUUGAUACACCCCAUUGCGAUGGGUGGUCUGUUUGUAUUCACAUUGUGGACAGGGUACUUGGGUUGGCAAUGGAGGAGAGUCAGGACAAUCCAGAAUGAAAUUAAUGAGCUCAAGAAGCAAGUUAAGCCUACCCCAGUUACACCAGAGGGGACACCAGUUGAAGAACCACCAUCUCCUUUUGCACUCAAAAUUCAGCAGCUCAGUGAGGUAGGCAUUUGACGGUCAGGAUUAUUUUAUGCUGAAUGCAAUGUAUAACAAUUGAAUGCAUGCUUAAUGCCAAGUAUGCAUUUUUAUUUCCAUGGAAUUAACUUACUUCUGGUGGGUUGAGAAACAAUGCACUUCAUGUUUUGGUCUUGUAUAUAUAAACCCUUCAUAGGAUGAAUUUGAUGUGCUAAAUUUGAAAAAAAUAGAUGGAAGGGUUGGCCAAAGUAACUAUAGUAUCAUUGUAAAUUAGUUUCAUUUAUGUAUUUGACAUUAAAUUUUGUGCAAUGUUUUUUCUGCUGUUAAGCAAAAAUUGGCAUUUCUGCAUAAACUAGUGUUUUAUCUCUUGAAUGUUUACUUCAUGAGAAUGUAUGAUGUGUUGGCAUUUCCUUAUCAGGAAAGGAAGGAGUUGGUGAAGGGGUCUUACCGGGAUAGACACUUCAAUGCCGGUUCAAUAUUGUUGGCUUUCGGAGUUUUCGAGUCCAUUGGUGGAGGAGUGAACACAUGGUUUAGGACAGGAAAGCUAUUUCCAGGUCCCCAUUUGUUUGCAGGAGCAGGUAAAAUUUGGAUAUCUGUUAGGAAAAUCAAAAUAAAAUAACAUAAAAGAAAUCAUUUGCCAAAUCUGAGUAGUAAAAGCUUAAUUGAACUGAGUUGGUUUUUCUUCUUGUCAACAGCUAUCACGGUGCUAUGGGCAGCGGCGGCGGCUCUUACACCUGCAAUGCAAAAAGGUAGUGAGACAGCCAGAAACCUACAUAUUACGUUGAAUGUGAUAAAUGUUCUGCUUUUCGUGUCGCAAAUACCUACUGGAUGGGAGAUAGUUUUGAAAGUGUUUGAAUUCACUAAAUGGCCUUGAAAUAAAAGAUUUCCAAAGGGUGAGUUCAUCAGUUCAGCUACCAUCUAUAAUUUCAAACUUAUGUUCUUUCCCCCUUUUCCCCUGCUAAUUUUCAUAGCCUUGUACCACAAAAAAUCUUCAGUAGGGUGCUAAGAGUUACUUUUAAGCAUUGGAUGCUGUUGUCUAUUCCAGUUAGAAUGUUUUGUAUAAAAAUAAAAAGCAUUUCACUCUAUGCUGUACAGUGCCACAACAUACAUAAUAAGAUAUAUUUCCUUUCCCCAGGUAUAGUAGCAAUUUAUGUUUGACAGCAGAGUCUUUAUCGAUAACCAUAAUGACAUUUUUCUUCUUUUCCUACUAUUACCCUUAUGUUCAACCCGUAUGCUAAAUCAACAACAAUCAAAUAAAGGUGCAGUUUCCCCUGAUACUGCAUCAUUGGGCAAGGCUUAAAUUCUGAUCUUUGUAUUGCAACUGCUUACCUUGUUUCCCUUCUCCAGAGAAACUGCGGAACCAAUGACUUUUUCUGUAUUGAUGUUCACACCUCACUGCAUUGCAUCCGUCCGGACACGCGUCUUGUUUUAGUUGAAUCACAUAAGAAAAUAUCAAUGUACGCCAAUCCAAACAAGAGUCACAAAUACUUAGUACAGUUGAAUCUGCUCAUCUAAUGAGUGCACUAUCAUUUUCAUGUCAUAACCAAGAGCAUAGACAUAGACACAUGCUUUGAAAGUCUACUCAUUUUCACUUUGGUUGCUUUAAGUUAUCUUUUUCAAUUUCAAAUGCUCUUUCUUAGCCUUACUGUCAGUUCGUAUAACAUGACAGUGGUACAUAAAUUUUAUAAAUGAAAGUUUAUCAACUCGCAAUGCAAGAACAACUAGCUAGAGAGAUGGAUGAUGAGAUCUGAACUACGACGUUUCUUCAAGCAGGGUUGCAGGAUACACAAAUGAGAAGGCUAAAGGUAUGUGUUCUCGGAGGUAUAACGUAUAAGGGUAUUCCUAGCAUGCAGAUGCAGUUUGCUUUCCUUCAGAUCAAAGACAAGGAUAUUAGGUUUCAUUCCGGAAUAAUGUAGUAUGGGAGAAGUUCGGAAAGAAUGUCACUUUAAAAGUCUCUAAUAACUUUAAAAGUCCUCAGAAAUUACUUAUCCUGCAGCUGCCCAUAUUGAAGGCUUUAGAAUGCCAAAAUAUGAUCAAAUUUUAGCCACCAUCUCUAUGAAAGCCUGGUGCAUUGUGACUGUCUCAUAGGAGUAUUUCUCAUGUUAUCAAAGGGUCCCGCCAAGUUUGAAAAAAAUUGUCUGCCAAAGUACCAUUAAAUUAAUGAUGAACAAAAUCUCAGCCUUCCUCCUUAAACCGUUAAAAAGAAAAGGGAAAGAAAAAGGCAGAUAUUCUAAGGACCCCCAUCUCAACUUUUCUUUUUUGAUUUUGUUUCCUGCCUUCUUUUUCAAUAGUGGCUUAUGGGUCUCUUGGGAAUCAGCCAUCAGCACAUUGUUUUUUUGCUUUUCAAGCAAAUAGAAGAAGUCUGUGUCGUUCUUCAUCUGUCCCCCAUACUCCACAGUUGGUAUAAUUGAGAAAAAUAAGAUGCCCUUACGUUUUGGUUCUAGGAAAUCAUCCAAAAAUGACCAUCCGUACGUUGAUGGAAGGCCCUUGAUGAACUCAGAAGAACAAAGUAAGAAUCUCAGAGUGACAUGAAAGGGGAAAAGUGAAAGCAGCAGUAGCAGCAGCAGCUAGCGUAUCACAAGCAAAGUCAAGAGGAAGACGCAGACAGACAUUAAUUAGUGGGAUUGAAAACCUUAGAAGAUUUGAAGAAUCCCAUUACAGUGACUAGUAAUUAGUUUACAUGUAGUUAGUUUUGUGAUCCUUAAAGCAUGAGGACGCAUAUGCUUUCUCUAUUGGUAUUGCUAGCCAGCCCAUUUAACCUUGUAAACAACUCUGAUGGGCACUGUGAAAUGUUCCAAGAGAACCCGCCAUUUGCACACUCGACAAACUGCAUCUAAGAAAAUUAUUGAAAUGACAGGUGAACGUGACAUCAAGAGCUUAGAUGUUUAGAUGUUAAGAGGAAAGCUGAGGAUGACGCGCCGGCGACUGUCUGUAGUGAAACCCUUGUUAUACAAAUUAGGAAGCUACUUCAUAAAUGCUAAUGAUAUAUGCACUCUCCUAGAGUAGUUCACGAGCCAUUUGGGAAAUAAAAAAAUUUGAAUGUUGAACAUCAUAAUUCCAAAUUUACAGACUGCUAUAGAAAUGGUAUCCUUGCAAGAGUUAAAGUACUCAAUUUUUAUAGUGGGUUGAAAAAUAAUGAUUCACUACAAAGAGGGAUGCUAUUCUUCCCAAUUAGCCGUCCAAUAUUUUUCAAAUAUUGUAAACGAUUGGUGCUCUAAAAAGUGAAAGUUACUACUGCAUGCAAAUGCUAAUGCUGCAGAUAUUGUCUUUGGUUCAAAGAAUACCCCAAAUGACAAAACAAGGUCAUCCCAUCAUAGGCUCAGCAACACACAACUCUUCAAUGUGACUCCAUUUGAUACCAAUCUUGCAUCGUCAAAUUAAUUUUUGCGUGCUUUUUUCAUUCUCUAAAAGAGCUCAACUUCAAGUGCUCCGCUGCAUCUGAUGCCUUUCUUUCUUCUCUCCAUCUUUCUUCUCUCAGCGUGUUUCUCAUUGUUUUUCUUUCUCUUUUUAAUGUCCCCCCUAAUUUUUCUGUCAAAUCUUAAGUUGCUUGUGCAUAAAUUUGUCACACCUAUAAAUAACAAUCCACACUUCACCUCAUUCUCAUUGUCCAAUUUCUAUGUUUCUUCAUUACCUCUAGUUCUAAUUUUGGUUGUGUCGCAUACCAUACUAAAGCUAAAAACCCUCUCCAACUUUAUUCUCCUUGUGAUUACCUAUGGCAACCCAACCUGCCCGUCCAUGGUUUCGGCUAGGCUCCAUGGUCCGUCCGGCCACCACCCCUGCCCCUGCACCAACCCCUGCCCCGGCACCCGUGGUUAGACCUGCAUUCAGGCCAUUGACUCCUGCACCUGAACCAACCCCAACUCCACCACCAGCUCCAACCCCAACUCCAGCACCCACCACCACAGCUCCGCCACCACCUCCUGCAGCCGCUGCUCAGCCACCACCACCUCCUGCCGUCGCUGCUCAGCCACCACCACCUCCUGCCGUCGCUGCUCCGCCACCACCACCUCCGGCCGUCGCUGCUCAGCCACCACCACCUCCUGCCGCUGCUGCUCCACCGCCUCCUACUGCCGUUCUUAUGCGUCGGCCACCACCACCUGCGGCAACUCCAGCACCACCUCCUCCUGCGACUAGUACUACUGCAUCAGUUCCACCAUCACCAAUUUCAAAAGCAGCAUCUUCUUCAGUGCCAUCAUCUCCUGGAAUCAGGGUUGGUAUAGCCCCAUCUUCUUCAGUGGCACCAUCUC
rnacentral:lncRNA from 1 species